GUUGAAAGUCACAACGAAAGAAUACAAAUACAAUACAAAGAGUACAAUGUCAAUGAAUAUAAAUACUAUUUCUACCAUACAUGCAUAUGUAACAUACAGUAAACAAAGUUUAUGAAUAUAGGUGCUAGUAUUGUUGUCAUAAUAUUUAGGCAAUACGCUUUUCGCGCAAGAGUAGUUCUAAAACCAAAGAGUACGAUGAGCAAUUGCAAGAAUAUUAAUGUGUUUAUGCAACGAAAUUUAACAGCAUAGCUUUAUGAUUGCAUUGCAAAAAAGGGGCAAGAUACAAAGACGGGCAAGAUACUUUUCCAAACUAUGUUAACUUCGGAUGUUCUCUUGCGCGCAACAUUGCAAUGUUGAUUGGCAAGUUGACCUGAGCAACUUGCAACUGUUUCGGGAAGAUUGACGUCCGGUUACAUCAGAAAUUCAACAUUUUCACAUGAGAGAAAAUGCUUCCCACUUACACAGCAGUAUUAUAUUAAAAUAUGAAUUUGUUUUAUCCGGAAAAAAGUGCUGAGAACCUUCACUAGAUGUUUACAAAUUGAUCAAGCCAAAUUGACAAUCAACAUUGCAAUGUUGCAGAGCAAUAUUGCAAUGUAGCGUGCAAGAGAACACUCGUUUUGACUGUAAGUAGUGUAAGUAACAAUGUUUGAUACACAAGUUCUCCUCACUGUGACGUCAUAUGCACAAUGACUCCCUGAAAAAAACCUUUUAGAACUCUUAUAGAUAAUUGAUUCAAAUUUGUCAACAUGUAACAUGUAUUUGUAUGCAUAACACAUGGUUUUAUGAUUUCGAUGCACGAUAUCCCAAGAUAUUGAAGUUUUUUUCAGAAAGCAUUAUACAAUAUGACGUCAUAGCGAGGAUAAUUUGCAUAUCUAAAAAUGUUAAAUAUACCAAGAACGAAGCCAGCUUAGGCCUGUUUCAUACGUCGAAUGCAAUUCAAACAAUAGAUAAUGAAGUUUAAUGAGGUUUAUCAUCUCAUUAUCUAUUGUCUUAAUUGCAUUCGACGCGACCAAAAUUCGAUGUAUAAAACGGGUCUAAGGCCUGUUUCAUACGUCGAAUUUAAUUUAGACGAAUUUAAUUCGUUAUUAAAUUCGUCAAUUGGUCGAUAUUAAAAUGGUUUCAAACGAC
rnacentral:lncRNA from 1 species